rnacentral:rRNA from 1 species
ACCUGCCCACUGAAAAAUUUUAAAUGGCCGCAGUAAUUUGACUGUGCAAAGGUAGCAUAAUCAUUAGUUUUUUAAUUAAAAGCUUGUAUGAAGGGUUGGACGAGAUAAAAUCUGUCUUUAUUUAAAUAAUAUAUAAUUUAAUUUUUAAGUUAAAAAGCUUAAAUUUUUAUAAAAGACGAGAAGACCCUAUAGAUCUUUAUAUUAUUAUAUUAUAAUUUUAUUUAAGAAUCAUGAUUUUUUUUUAUUAUAUAUAAUAUUUUAUUGGGGUAAUAAAAAGAUUAAAAAAAUUCUUUUUGAUAUUUAACAUUAAUUUAUGAAUUUAUGAUCCAAUUAUUUUGAUUAUAAGAUUAAGUUACCUUAGGGAUAACAGCGUAAUUUUUUUAGAGAGUUCAUAUCGAUAAAAAAGUUUGCGACCUCGAUGUUGGAUUAAAAAUUGUUUUAGGCGCAGAAGUUUAAAAAUUUGGUCUGUUCGACCAUUAAAUUUUU